CCUGGCCACUCCCCACAGGCUGCUCCUCCCGUCUGCCCAAGCACACACCAUCUGUGCCCACAGAAACUGCAUGAACCUCCCUCCCUGAGGGACAGGACAUGGACAAGCGUGUGACACUGAUACAGUGCACGAGGCACUCGCAUUUCAAGCUCAUCAGCCUGGGAUAAGGACCUAAGCAGAACAGUAGAGGGGUUACGUUGACCUGAAAGAAAGAUCACUAUCAGCUGCCACGCAGUCGUCAGUGCUCAUAAGCCAGGCAAACACAAGCCAGGAGCCUGAGUUCCACUGCUCCCUUAGCUGGUCAUCUAAUGUGUGUCUGCCUCUUCCCCUCAGUGAAGUUUGGGAUGAAUUACUCACUUCCCCAUUCCUCCAGCCCAAGGGCCAUCGAUGCAGUGCAACUACAGGUGCAGCCAGGCUUGCUGGGAUGCCAGAGCAGCCUGGGGCUUCUCAGCCUGUGAGAGCCAGCCCUGCGCAGCCAUCCCUACCCACACUGUCAGCAGCACCUCUGCUCACACCAAAGCCAGCCUGCCAGCACAGCACAUGGAAACCCAAAAACUCAUCCAAGAGAUUGGAGCGGGGGCUUAGGAAUGUUCAUCCAGC
ensembl:lncRNA